AAAAGAGUGAGUGAAUGUGAGCCUGUGUAGGGGUGGGGGUAACCCUCAGUAACCUGUACCUCUGGUCCCGAUCAGCUGAUGGUAUUUUUAGUGUGGGUCUGGCAGUAACAGCGGGUCAUAUGACUGCGUGUCUGUGAUGUGUCAUGUGAUGUGUCACCUGAAGGCUAUAAUUAUCAAGGAGAGCCGAGGUCAGAUUUCAGCAGACAGGACGCAGCAUGGAGGAGAGCUGCAGCUUGGUCACACGGUGACGAGUAAUAUCCGUGUACUUCAACAGUGUUGGGUUGGGGCUACAGCUCAGAUUGGACAUACAGGUUAUCCUGUAUGUCCACCUGCGUGCUGUGACAUCACGAGGCUGACAGGAAGUGGUGAUGAUGGUGGGCGUGAUGGUAGCAUGCAGCUCGGUGAGCUCCAUCAAAGCACUGUGGGAGACCAGGAUCAGGAGGAAGAGGGAGGAGCAGGAGGAGGAGCACAAGAGGAGGCCCAUGAGGGGCGGGGCCACAGGCAGACUUGGAGUCGGGCUUUGGGAAGACCGGGCGGCGCUGGCCCGGCUAAAGCAGAAGCUGGAGACUGAGGACGGCCGGCUGGUCCUCCGGAUCGAGCAGGAGGAGUGGAAGGUUCUGCCGGGCUGCCUGAUCCAGCUCAGUCAGGUCCAGGAGUGGCAGAUCCACCGGACCGGACUACUGAAGAUCCCUCACUUCAUCUCCAGCUUCCAGAACCUUCUGGUGCUCGAUCUGUCCCGGAAUGGAGUCGCUGAGAUCCCCAAACAGAUCGGGAAGCUGACCCGGCUCAGAGAGCUGCUGCUGAGCUACAACAGAAUCCCGUUUGUCCCGGCAGAGCUGAGCGGGUGUGAGAGCCUGGAGAGGCUGGAGCUGGCCAUGAACCGGGACUUGAAUGAGCUACCGGACCAGCUUGGGACGCUGUCGCGGCUGCAGCAUGUUGAUCUUUCCAUGAACGACUUCAGCUGCCUGCCUGCCUGCCUGCUCGCCCUGCCGGCGCUCGAGUGGCUCGACAUAGGAGGAAACCGCCUGCAUCACUUACCUGAAGACAUACACAGGAUGGAGGCGCUACACACUCUGUGGCUGCAGAGGAACGAGCUGGAGAAGCUUCCGGAGAACAUCGCCAGGAUGAGGAGCCUGGACACGCUGGUGCUCAGCAGCAACAGGCUGAGAGACAUCCCACCGCUCAUGGAGGGCAUGUCCAACCUCAGGUUUGUGAACUUCCGGGAUAACCCCCUGACUCUGGACGUGACGCUACCGAGCAAUAAGGCAGUGGCUGAGGAGGAGGAGGAGGAAGAUGACCGGGAGAUGUUCGGGAAAGAGUUCAUGCUCAUGUACAUCCAGGAGGCCCGAAAGAGAGCGUACGCCGUGCUCAACGUGCACUGCGUCAACCGUUAGUACUGAGCAUGCUCACUGACCUGCGUGCGCUAACACGCUAACCUGUGUGUGUGCCAAGCAUCUCAUGGGGGCAGCGACCCUCAGCGGCGUCACCCAACAGGAAGCUAAACCCCGACUGACCCCUCUGACCUCAGAGUCCGAUGGCGAGUCCAAUGACGAGUCCUCAGCGUGAAAUAUGGCACCACGUCUUUUUUUCUUCUUCUGAGCUUCUCCCUCAUAAAGACACUUCCACAAAGCCAUACUUGUGCUUUUAUUUUGAAAGACUUUGCGUGGAUGAGCGGGACGAGUCAAACUCCAGAAGUUUGUCCAGCUGUGAAAUAAUUCACGAUUGUGCCAUGUGACAGGCAGAUUUUAGUGAGCAUGCUCAGAGCGCCGCUUGUUGAAAGACUGCAAACGUUUUAUGUACAUGAGGAAAAAAAAAAUCGCUUUAAUACAAACAGGAAACACCUGAGCAUGUUCAGUCAGACUUCCUGUAACUUAAAACUCAAAAUUGCAGCUUACAAUCAAACAGCAAUGAGGUGAUAAUCAA